rnacentral:rRNA from 1 species
UACGUAGGGUGCGAGCGUUGUCCGGAAUUAUUGGGCGUAAAGGGCUCGUAGGCGGUUUGUCGCGUCGGGAGUGAAAACCAUGGGCUUAACUCAUGGCUUGCUUCCGAUACGGGCAGACUAGAGGUAUGCAGGGGAGAACGGAAUUCCUGGUGUAGCGGUGAAAUGCGCAGAUAUCAGGAGGAACACCGGUGGCGAAGGCGGUUCUCUGGGCAUGUUCUGACGCUGAGGAGCGAAAGUGUGGGGAGCGAACAGG